rnacentral:rRNA from 1 species
AGGGAUUGACAUGCCGAGAAUUUCUUAGAGAUGAGAAAGUGCCUGUAAAGGAACUUGGACACAGGUGGUGCAUGGCUGUCGUCAGCUCGUACCGUAAGGCGUAGAGUUAAGUCUCGCAACGAGCGCAACCCUCGUCUUUUGUUGCCUAUAUAGGGACUCUAAAGAGACUGCCGGUGCAAGCCGGAGGAAGGAGAGGAUGACGUCAAGUCAGCAUGCCCCUUACAUCCUGG